UAUCCCAAUGAGGGAUAGUGUUGAGACUGACGAAUACUGUUUGAUGCAUUGUGGGAAAUGCCGUUGCGACAACAACAAAGACGCCUUACUGAUUUUAAAAGCAAUAUUUACACAAGAAGAAAAAUUUAGCAGUUUAAAGGAGAGACAUGGGCAGUUUUCCAGUCAUCUGGAACAACACCUGUUUUAACUGACUUCUCAAAGAUAAUGAUUAAAGACUGAGGACAGAUGUCAAGAGGGAAGGAAAAAGUCACCGAUUCAACCAUCAAAAUACUUUGCCUAUACUUAACAGUAACGACUAGUUCAGUCAGUUUUCAAUUGAUGAUGCAAGUAGUAAUUAUUAAACUUAACUAGGUCAAGAUCUUUAUACAUAUUUAGUCAAGCGUUCUACCUUUGGAAUUACACUUGUGUUCAGGUUGUUUUGCUCAUUUGUAUCAACGACAGAGCCAAAAGCGAAAUAUGCGUCUUUGUUUUCCUAUUUUUGCUUCUUGUUGUGCAUACUUCAUUAAUGAAAUCAUUUGUAAAUUAAAGUUUUUAAAGUG